rnacentral:sRNA from 1 species
AACUACAUUUUAACCAUGUGAACAAACACAAUAUCAUGUGUCAUGGAAUUAUCCAAUAAGUAGUCAGCUAGAAGGAUACUUUUAGAAGGUUGCUUUCUAUGUAUAGCGAUAUAUGUAGAGGAGAGGUAAAACUCAAUACUGGGUAAUGUGCAAAUAUUAUCGUUUAAUAAAACACUAGAGUUGUCGUAGUCGCAAUAGACGGACUAGUAGUCAAUAAGCCUAUAACUCAUAUGUAGCAAGUAUGAAGCGAUGUAGGUAAUGCUAAACAAGGCUAUUUCUCGUGAAUACUCUGAAAAGAGGAUAUAAGACAUAACUAGGUUAAAGUAGCCCAAUGCGAGAUAAAAAGCAGGGAAAAUUUGGUAUUAGAUGAAUUUAAUACAAAACAUUAUCUGAAUGAUGUGGUGAAAUUUGCAAGUAGACAAUCUUGCACGAGCUAGAAAGGGGCAAGAAGUAUAAAGGUCGCUACUUUAUGCUCAGACUUGUUCUCUCGGUGGUUGAACAAUUAAAAAGAUAACUAUUUGUAAGGCGAAAGUCUAAAUGUAUUUUAUAU